UUUUUUUUUUUUUUUUAAGGCUGAAAGGAAAGUACAUGUGAAAGGUUGUUAGUUGGCUUAAAACUGUGUAGCAAAUGAAUGGUAAACAGAUGAAACCUGCCUCUUGCCAGGCUGUGACCCUCACCUGACACACAGUGCUUAUGCCUUAUGGUUUCUCACACACUUGUGGUUUAGUCUCUAGUCUUGCUCCUCUGUCCCAAGCUCUGCCCCAGGAGACAGACCAGGGUGAGAGCAUUUAGACUCUGCAGUCUGAUCCAUCUGUGGGUUCCUAUGGUUCCGAUGAGAUGCUAACUCCCCACAUGUGCGCUGUAUUGAGCCUGUACAGUGAGCUAACUGAUCCUUUGCAUAGUAGUUCAUGCUAGUGUUCCUACCACUUGGGAGGCUGAGCUGUGCAAUCAAGAUUACAAGGUCAUUCUAAGAUGCAUAGCAACUUGGAACCCAGCCUGGGCUAUGUAGCAAGACCCUUACUCAAAAAACAAACAAACAAACAAACAAACAAACAAACAAACAAACAAACUGAGGUCAAGUAGCAUAGACAUCCCAACACUCACGGAGUAUGGGUAGGAGGGUCAGGAGUUCAAGGCCAUCUUUAGCUAUGAAGCAAAUUGAAGGCCAGUCUGGGCUCUCUCAAAAACAAACAAACAAACAAACAAACAAACAAACAAAGCAAGCUGGGCACUGGUAGUGUGUGUCUUUAAUACCAGCAGAGACAGGAAGAUCUCUUAAGUUCAAGUCUAGCCUGGUCCACAGAGAGAGUUCCAGGACAGCCAGGGGUACACAGAGAAACCCUGUCUUGAAAAACAACAAACAAACAAUAACGAGGGGGUGGGAGAGAGCCCUGGUUCAAAUCUAGUUCCCCCACUCUCCACCUCAGUUUCCUUAUCUGUGAAAUGGAAAGAACAGCAUGGUUGUUUCUACCCUAUAGGGCUCUUGGGAAGAUUAAAUAUUACUGUGCUUAAGUCCUUGUACUUGGCCCACAUUUUAAGUACUGCCUAAGUGUUUGAUUUAUCUUUUUCGAUUUGGGAGACUGAACCCAGGGCUUCACACACCCUGAGCAAGUGCGCUGCUGCUGAACUGCACCCCCAACCUCAGCUGUUUGUUUUCACAUCCUAGUUCUUGACUCUUGUAACACAGCUGAGUUUAUCAGGCUUGGGGGAUGAGAGUGAAUAGUCAUGGGGGCCGUAAGAGAAGCAGAGCUUUGCAGCGCAUCCCCAUGGCCAGGGGAUUCCCAGCAGUGUUUAUUCUUGGUUCUAGCCCAGAUGGAAGAAGCAGGCUAUCCAAGUGACCCUCUGCUUUGGGUGUGCGCGCAGAUGGACUGUCAGUGCAUUCCACUUGAACUCCUUUCCUCUUCCUCAAGUGGGAAGGUCAGUUUGGGGUCAGCCUUGAUGCAGACCACAGUCUUCCCUCAAGAGCUCCCGAUCCUUCCCAUCCAUCUAGGCACAAUACUUCUCUCUGGGAGAUGGGGGGGGGAGAAACCCCCACAGAACCUAAUGGACUGGGGGUGGUCCUAUAGGCCUGGCUGGCAGUCUUCUUGGAGAGAGGCUGUGCAUUCCAUUCCCUAACCCAAUCCCUCCCUCCCUCCCAUCUCUCUCCUUUCUCCUCUCUUUCUCUGUUUUGUUGUUGUUUGUGGCUGGGUCUCACUUUGUAGUCCAGGCUGGUCUUGAACUUACACAGCUCCACAUGUGUUUGCCUACCAAGUGCUAGAACUAAAGGUGUUGGAUGUUCGCCAUUAAUCCCAGCACUUGGGAGGCAGAAGCAAUAGAUCUCUGAGUUUGAAGCCAGCAUGGCCUACAGAGUGAGUUCCAGGACAGCCAGAGCUACACGGAGAAACCCUGUCUCGAAAAACAAGCAAGCCAACAACAGAGGGUGUGCUUCAUCACGGCAGGCGUACAUCCUAGGUAGCCAGGGAUGAUCUUAAAAUCUUCAAAAAUUAGUUUAUUAUAUUUAGUUUAUUUGUGUGUAUGUAAUGUGUGUGCAGCAGGGUGGGGCUGCCAUAGCAUGAGUGAGAAGGUCAGAGGACCGCUUGUAGGAGACAGUUCUUUCCUUCCAUCGUGAGGGACAGAGAAAUAAACCUUAGGUUGUCAGUUUGGCAACAUGCACCUUUCUACCCGUGGAGCCAUCUUUCUGACUUCACCUUAAAGUCCUGAUCCUCCUGCUUCAGCCUUCCAAGUACUAAGACUACAGGUGUGUAUUACAUUUAUCCUUUUGAUUUUUUUUUGAUUGUUUUGAGAAACAAGGUUUCUCUAUAUAGCCCUGGCUACAUACUCUGUAGACCAGGCUGGCCCGGAACUCAGACAUCUGCCUGCCUUUGCCUCCUCAGUGCUGGGAUGAAAGGCGUGUGGUGCUUUUCAGUUUAGAUCUCAUUCUAUUUCUAUAGCUCAGGAUAUCCUGAAACUGUAUGUAGCCCAGGAUGGCCUCAAAUGUGAUCCUCCUGCCUCAGCCUCCUGAGUGCUAGGAUUACAGGUUUCACCACGACAUCCUUCUCCCUGCCUUCUUUGUAUAGUACCCGGGACGGAGUUCACGUGUCCUGACUGCUCAUAUGAAGCAAGCAGUCUACCAGUGAGCACUAAACCCAAUUUAUUAUUGUCUGUUACCAUGUUUCUAUAGAAACACAGAUAAGGGACUGGAGAGAUGGCUCAGUGGUUAAGAGCACUGACUGCUCUUCCAGAGGUCCUGAGUUCAAUUCCCAGCAACCACAUGGUGGCUCACAACCAUCCUUAGUGAGAUCUGAUGCCUCUUCUGAAGUGUCUGAAGACAGCUACAGUGUAUUUAUAUAUAAUAAAUAAAUUUC
rnacentral:lncRNA from 1 species